rnacentral:tRNA from 1 species
AUUGAUAUGGCAGAAUAAUGCAAAGAAUUUAAGCUUCUUUUAUACUUAAAUAGUUUUCAAUA